GUCAGACCAAAGGGGAAAAAAAACAAUGCAGCUUUACAAAUUAAACACAUCGUUGAGCAACAUACCAGUUGUGUGAGUUACGCCCUUAAAACACCUUAAUGCCACAAAAGAGCAGGUGUUAUUGACAAAUAAAGGGCAAGUGUCUACAAGCCAUUAUGUAUAAUACCAAACGGCCCGUUUGUACUCUCUGUUACUGUGUAAUGGUAUAAAUAACCCCGGUGCAAAACAUGAGAACAGCCGACGUGGCAGGGAGGCGCUCCGGAGCAGCUUCAUGCCCAGAACAACAGCACAGGGGGCAGCAAAGCAUCUUCCAUCACGGUUAAACGCACCAGCCAGGCAAAUGAUGACAAGCAACGAAGGCAACUCCAUCUACUGAGGAAGGCCAUGAAAUGUGGACGAAAGCCUCAUUAACAUAUAACGUCUUUGUCUUCAUCCAUGUCUGUCUCUUCAAUGUCCUGCUGUGGAUGAGCUCACCGCUGCCUGUUUCCUGGCUGACUCAUCGUGGUUGGUUCUGACGACAGACGAGCUGACUGACGGCUCCCCACUCUGCAUCUGUAGCAGUGUGAAGGCACCUGCCCUGAAUAAGAUGACGUCUGUGGCCUCUGUGAGUCAUCCAGACCCUUAAGAGCUGGCGAGAAAACCAUAGCUGACUGGCUGUACCCUCCUUUCUCCCCCCUUAAAGCCUGGGAUGAGGCAGUUCCAAUCAUCUGGCUGAACAACAGGCACAAAAUGAGCAGUGUCCUGGGAGUCAUUGACCUCAGGUGUGAAACGUCACUCCCAGGGGGUCGGUGUGCAUUAGCAGUCUCCCAUGCAGCAGAUGGCAAACCCCAGACAAUGAGUGGAUGAGACAGACGAGCCAGGUAAAGAAAAGGGAGGGGCUGAAAUGUGUUAAUCUCCCACUGCUUGGCUGUUGGAGCAGCGACUUCAGACCUACAUGCAUCAGUGGGUGGGGGGAAGGACUGCUGUAUCUAAGUGAUAAUAUACAGCAUGUAAUCCUCUCAGGGGCUGAGUUUAGAGGUAUAGCAUAUAUUGUUAAAAUGCAAGGCUGACUGGAUUGCAGAGAAUUUCACGAUGAUUAGAUGAAACAGGAUUUUUCCAAAUCUCAGAUUCAUGGAACUGAGGCAAUGACAUGAAGAUUCAGCACCACCUGUUCUCUGUUGACCUCCAGUAACCCAUCCCCCUCCUGUUAUGUACUUUCAUUCAGGGAGUAGCUUAGCAAUUUAGCCAAAUAGGCUUACUUGUCAGACUCAUCUGCUUUGCCAACCUCCACCGUCACUUGUGUGCUUUCUCUCAGUUAUGCAAACAUUUAAGUUGCUUAGAUUUGCUGUCGUUUCAGUUUGGUCAUGUUUGCUGGGCUGUGAGAUGCAUAAAUUGAAGCAUAUCAUUCUUCUUGACAGUGAACAGGUCCGCUCAGCAGUGGGUUUAGUCUCAGUUUUAAAUAGCUGCUCCUGCUCCUGUUCAUUUACUGUUGAGCCUCAGCCAACAAGACAAAAGAAAGUUGGACAGACUGUCAAAAAUGACGAUAACUAAGCCCAUUAACUCCUCAGGAUAAGCAUCUUUCCUGUCAAGGAUUAUUUGCAAACUGACCCACAUUGUGAUUGUUACUUGGUAUUUCUUUUUCUUAGGUGACAAUUAAGACUAUAUUUUUGCUUACAUUUUAUUUCUACUUGUUUGAAUUUUCUCCUUGUUCCAUUUAAUUCAGUUAAUUAGCUAUUUAUUUAACAUGGCUGCUCCCAUAAACUUACAGUAAAAGAAUUUAAAUUAAAUAGACAAUUCAGCCAGUGAUUUGGUUUUUGACAAUGUGUGUCUAUUGCAUUCAGCAGUUUGUACAACAAUAUACAUUCAGAAUGUACAUCUUUUGUAUUAUUGUAGUAAUAAAUGUAAAACUGCCUAAUUUUGA